rnacentral:lncRNA from 1 species
GCCAGAGAAGAGUGUAAGCAGGAGAGUGAGUGAGUGAGUGAGUGAGUUAGUGAGAAUGGCUCCCAAGUCUCUGAUCCUUUUGGCUGUGUUAUCCUUUUCAGCAGUGUCACUGAGUCCUUCUCUUGCUGAAGAUAAUGGCCUUGUGAUGAACUUCUACAAGGAAACUUGUCCUCAGGCUGAAGACAUCAUCAAAGAACAAGUCAAGCUUCUCUACAAGCGCCACAAGAACACUGCUUUCUCUUGGCUCCGAAACAUCUUCCAUGACUGUGCUGUUCAGGUCAUUCAUUAAUCUUGCCUUUUCUUUUUUCUUUUUUCUUUGCGAGUUUCAUCUUCUUAAGCUUUUUACGCCUUUUUCUUUUUUGUUAGAGCUGUGAUGCUUCACUGUUGCUGGACUCCACAAGAAGGACCUUGUCUGAGAAGGAGACAGACAGAAGCUUCGGUUUGAGGAAUUUCAGGUACAUUGAGACCAUCAAAGAAGCUGUGGAAAGGGAGUGCCCGGGAGUUGUUUCCUGUGCUGAUAUACUCGUUCUCUCUGCCAGAGAUGGCAUUGUUUCGGUAAUCAACACCUUCUCCUUUCUUUUUCUUUUCUUCCAUUUCUCAUCUUUUGAGAGAUAAAUAUGCUAUCCCAAAUCUGUCAACUCAUUCUACCAUAUCACUCUAUUUUUACUGUGAAGGAAGUAGAAUUUGGCAAUUGCUUUCGAUGUUCUGCAAGAAAUUAUUCUUCUAGUUAAUUUUUUUUAUUGUGUUGCAGCUAGGAGGCCCCCAUAUCCCUCUUAAAACUGGAAGAAGGGAUGGUAGAAGGAGCAGAGCUGAUGUGGUUGAACAGUUCCUCCCAGACCACAAUGAGUCCAUUUCUUCAGUUCUUGACAAGUUUGGUGCCAUGGGAAUUGACACUCCCGGGGUGGUUGCUUUGCUUGGUAUACACUACUCUACAUCCUUCCAUAAUCCAUCAUCUAAUGUACAUACACAAUAAAUUAUUAUGCAAAUCAUUCAUAAGAAAUAUUUAGCAAAAUUUGGACUUUUUGACCUUAGUGGUCCCUGUAUAUGUAAUAAUUUCCCUUCAUAAUGCAUAUAUAAAUGUAAGUGGGCUCUGUAUGAUGAAUCAGAGAUAAAGAUGUACGAAAGACAUGAAAUUCUAAAGAAAUUACAUGCUUGCUGAUUUAAGUUAUAAUGAUUGAGAUAUUUUGUUGAACAGGAGCACACAGUGUUGGUAGAACACACUGUGUGAAGUUGGUGCACCGUUUGUACCCGGAGAUUGAUUCUGCACUGAACCCUGAGCAUGUCCCUCACAUGCUGAAGAAGUGCCCUGAUGCCAUUCCAGAUCCCAAGGCCGUGCAGUAUGUGAGAAACGACCGUGGCACCCCCAUGAUUCUAGACAACAACUACUACAGAAACAUAUUGGACAACAAGGGGUUGCUGAUAGUGGAUCACCAACUAGCCAAUGACAAGAGGACCAAGCCUUAUGUGAAGAAAAUGGCCAAGAGCCAAGACUAUUUCUUCAAGGAGUUUUCUAGAGCCAUCACCUUGCUCUCUGAAAACAAUCCUCUCACUGGCACUAAGGGAGAGAUCAGAAAGCAGUGCAAUGUUGCCAACAAGCACCGUGAGGAGCCUUGAAAGUUCUUCCGGAAGAAAUCUGUAAAAUAUUAUUAUGCUGUGUUUUAUUUUAAAUGAGUAGGUUGCCUUGUCGGCAGGUUCAUGGGGAUGUCACUGUUGUUAUUUUUAUUUCAAUAAGGAUGUUAUAUUUAGUAGUCUAGUAGAAGUUGGGUAGAAGGAUAUGUUCACUGUGUUAAUUAUGAUAUCAAUGUAUGCACGUGAUUGCUGUCAUCGAUGGCAGUGACAACCAUGUUUAUGGUAUCCGCACUCAGAAGUUUGUUCUUUCUUUCAACAUAAUCAUGGUUUUUACAUUGCUAUCUAUCCUAUUCAAAUAGGCCCCAUGAUAGAGACUAGAUGAAGCAAAAUUUAGGAAUCUAUCAAGUAACAAAUGCAUAGUCUUUUAUUUUGAAUGUAGCUUGGCAAACACAUUAAGCCAAGCAUA